rnacentral:rRNA from 1 species
ACCUGGGCUACNCACGUGCUACAAUGGACAGAACAAAGGGCUGCGAGACCGCAAGGUUUAGCCAAUCCCAUAAAUCUGUUCUCAGUUCGGAUCGCAGUCUGCAACUCGACUGCGUGAAGCUGGAAUCGCUAGUAAUCGCGGAUCAGCAUGCCGCGGUGAAUACGUUCCCGGGCCUUGUACACACCGCCCGUCACACCACGAGAGUUUGCAACACCCGAAGUCGGUGAGGUAACCUUUAUGGAGCCAGCCGCCGAAGGUGGGGCAGAUGAUUGGGG